GCGAUCAUACCAGCACUAAUGCACCGGAUCCCAUCAGAACUCCGAAGUUAAGCGUGCUUGGGCGAGAGUAGUACUAGGAUGGGUGACCUCCUGGGAAGUCCUCGUGUUGCAACCC
rnacentral:rRNA from 1 species